ensembl:lncRNA
GGUGCCAUUUGGGACUUAAACCACUGAGUUGGAGGGAAAUGGUGGGUAGGCCUACAGAUCUAGGAUCAGCUUCCCCUCUAACCAAUCCUAACCUUAGCCCUUAUUGGGAAAAUGCUCAAAACUGACCCAAUAUCAGCGUGGAACUCCCUCGUCCCCUACGGCUAUGACAGUAUUCAGUAGGUCACGAAAACAACUCGAGUCAUUUCUGGAGACAUGAACCAGUCUCUUGUACUAGCUAGCCACCAAUAAAAGGACAGGACCGACCAACACCAACGUCAGCCGUGCCCAGUAGAUCACCUGCUGGGUGGGACUGGUGUGGUCCUGUCCCCAAUGCUGCCACAUGCCUCCAACAAGAUCAACCCAGUUACUCAGUUUACAUUCUCUGCUGGUACAGUAACCACUUCUAUAGCGUUUAGCCUCUUCCAUUUGAACUGAUAAGACCACGACAGGUUGGAGGGAGGAGAAUGGAAACUAGCCCGGCGCGUUCACCUCCCUGUUAGAGUACUGUACUGAAGGAGACAAGGAAAGGAAGCUAGUGAGGACUAUUGAGACUCAGCCCAGACACUUGUGUUAGAAGACACGAGUCUAAAAAAGGUGCCGCAUGGUCAAUCCGAUGUCUGCGGCGGCAGCACAGCGCGUUACUGUGUCGCGGCAGCACAGCGCGUUACUGUGUCGCGGCAGCACAGCGCGUUACUGUGUCGCGGCAGCACAGCGCGUUACUGUGUCGCGGCAGCACAGCGCGUUACUGUGUCGCGGCAGCACAGCGCGUUACUGUGUCGCGGCAGCACAGCGCGUUACUGUGUCGCGGCAGCACAGCGCGUUACUGUGUCGCGGCAGCACAGCGCGUUACUGUGUCGCGGCAGCACAGCGCGUUACCGUGUCGCGGCAGCACAGCGCGUUACUGUGUCGCGGCAGCACAGCGCGUUACCGUGUCGCGGCAGUACAGCGCGUUACCGUAUCGCGGCAGUACAGCGUGUUACCGUGUCGCGGCAGUACAGCGUGUUACCGUGUCGCGGCACCGUGUCGCGGCAGAACAGCGUGUUACCGUGUCGCGGCAGUACAGCGUGUUACCGUGUCGCGGCAGCACAGCGCGUUACUGUGUCGCGGCAGUACAGCGCGUUACCGUGUCGCGGCAGCACAGCGCGUUACCGUGUCGCGGCAGUACAGCAAAUUACUGUGUCGCGGCAGAACAGAACGUUACCGUGUCGCGGCAGUACAGCGAGUUACUGUGUUGCGGCAGAACAGCGAGUUACUGUGUCGCGGCAGCACAGCACGUUACCGCGUCGCGGCAGUACAGCGCGUAACCGUGUCGCGGCAGCACAGCGCGUUACUGUGUCGCGGCAGUACAGCGAGUUACUGUGUCGCGGCAGCACAGCGCGUUACCGUGUCGCGGCAGUACAGCGUGUUACCGUAUCGUGGCAGUACAGCGCGUUACCGUGUCGCGGCAGAACAGCGAGUUACCGUGUCGCGGCAGCACAGCGAGUUACCGUGUCGCGGCAGCACAGCACGUUACCGUGUCGCGGCAGUACAGCGCGUAACCGUGUCGCGGCAGCACAGCGCGUUACUGUGUCGCGGCAGUACAGCGAGUUACUGUGUCGCGGCAGCACAGCGCGUUACCGUGUCGCGGCAGCACAGCGCGUUACUGUGUCGCGGCAGCACAGCGCGUUACUGUGUCGCGGCAGCACAGCGCGUUACUGUGUUGCGGCAGCACAGCGCGUUACCGUGUCGCGGCAGUACAGCGUGUUACCGUAUCGCGGCAGUACAGCGCGUUACUGUGUCGCGGCAGAACAGCGAGUUACCGUGUCGCGGCAGUACAGCGUGUUACCGUGUCGCGGCAGUACAGCGUGUUACCGUGUCGCGGCAGAACAGCGUGUUACCGUGUCGCGGCAGUACAGCGUGUUACCGUGUCGCGGCAGUACAGCGUGUUACCGUGUCGCGGCAGUACAGCGUGUUACCGUGUCGCGGCAGAACAGCGUGUUACCGUGUCGCGGCAGUACAGCGUGUUACCGCGUCGCGGCAGUACAGCGUGUUACCGUGUCGCGGCAGCACAGCGUGUUACUGUAAUGCAGCCUCUGCAGAAGUCAGAGCAAACAUACUUUUUGGAGCUUCCCAGAGCCGUUGUGAAGGAAGGUGUCGAGAGAGUGAGUUUGUGUUUAUUCAGGACCUCCCACCCUCACCUACCGUCAACCAAUCAUGUCAAUGCGGAGCUAUACGGAGCCCCCCCACAUUGUUACAACAUUUGAGAGGUGCACAGCGAUGCGGUAUGGAGCUUGAUUCGGACUCUGCACGCCUCCGGAGCCUCGUCGCACCCUCCAUAUGGUCUCCACCAUUUGAUCAGAUUCAGUAUAAAAUUGUCUUUAACUGUAAUGGUUCAUCCCCUAGAUCACUGUCACACCUAGAGUCACAAAAUUACCAGGUUUUCCAGAAAUCCUGGUUGGAGGAUUCCGGGUUUUCCUUCUUAGGGUAA